CGUUACACACCGCCCGUCACACCAUGGGAGUGGGUUGUACCAGAAGUAGGUAGCCUAACCGCAAGGAGGGCGCUUACCACGGUAUGAUUCAUGACUGGGGUG
rnacentral:rRNA from 1 species